rnacentral:rRNA from 2 species
CCUACGGGGGGCUGCAGUGGGGAAUAUUGGGCAAUGGGCGCAAGCCUGACCCAGCAACGCCGCGUGAAGGAAGAAGGCUUUCGGGUUGUAAACUUCUUUGACAGGGGACGAAACAAAUGACGGUACCCUGAAAACAAGCCACGGCUAACUACGUGCCAGCAGCCGCGGUAAUACGUAGGUGGCAAGCGUUAUCCGGAUUUACUGGGUGUAAAGGGCGUGUAGGCGGGAUUACAAGUCAGAUGUGAAAACUAUGGGCUCAACCCAUAGCCUGCAUUUGAAACUGUAGUUCUUGAGUGAUGGAGAGGCAGACGGAAUUCCUCGUGUAGCGGUGAAAUGCGUAGAUAUGAGGAGGAACACCAGUGGCGAAGGCGGUCUGCUGGACAUUAACUGACGCUGAGGCGCGAAAGCGUGGGGAGCAAACAGGAUUAGAUACCCCGGUAGUC